UGUCAAAGAGUGAGUCUAAGAGUCUGUGUGAAAAGUCUGUACAAAAUCCCCUUUAUAUAGGGUCUGAAAUAAAACGAAAGAAGAAAUUGAAAAUAAAUGGGGGAAAGAACCUAGCUUCACUUGGACGCUUCAAUCAUCACCCUCCACGUGGCAUUGCCGAUCAACUCCUCUUCUUCUCUAGGCAGGAUGAAGUCAUGUCUUCAGGUCCACCGGUCAUCUGCUCGCGUUGAUCACCAACCAUUCGAUCACCUUGAUGUUCCCCGGUCAACUUUGAAUUGGCUUCCUUUUCU
rnacentral:lncRNA from 1 species